GAUGAAGGAACGUAGCGAAAUGCGAUAAGUAAUGUGAAUUGCAGAAUUCAGUGAAUCAUCGAAUCUUUGAACGCACAUUGCGCCCGCCAGUAUUCUGGCGGGCAUGCCUGUUCGAGCGUCAUUUCAACCCUCAAGACCCCUUCGGGGGACUUGGUGUUGGGGACCGGCUGUUCCCGGCCUGCUUCUUGCAGCGCCUUCAUGCCGCCCCCGAAAUGAAUUGGCGGCCUCGUCGCGGCCUCCCCUGCGUAGUAGCACAACCUCGCAACGGGAACGUGACGGCGGCCACUGCCGUAAAACAACCCAAUUUUAUUAGAGUUGACCUCGAAUCAGGUAGGAAUACCCGCUGAACUUAAGCAUAUCAAUAAGCGGAGGA
rnacentral:misc_RNA from 1 species